CAUGUACAGAAUGAAAACUUCAUUCUCGACUUAACAAGAAUUUUUAUAAAAAUGUUUCAUUUGCUUCUCUUCAUUGCAACUUUUAUUUUUUCAAAACUUAUCCUCAUUUUUGGCCUAAUUAUUCUUCUGAUGAUCGACUCAACCUCUGAUAAAAAAGAUAGACCAAUUGCAAUCAAUGAUAAGAAAAGAUAG
rnacentral:rRNA from 1 species